rnacentral:sRNA from 1 species
UAAGCCUUUAUAUACGUCACAAUUUGGA